rnacentral:rRNA from 1 species
CAGUCGCCGCGGGAAUACAGAGGGUGCAAGCGUUAAUCGGAAUUACUGGGCGUAAAGCGCGCGUAGGUGGUUUGUUAAUUUGGAUGUGAAAUCCCCGGGCUCAACCUGGGAACUGCAUCCAAAACUGGCAAGCUAGAGUAUGGUAGAGGGUGGUGGAAUUUCCUGUGUAGCGGUGAAAUGCGUAGAUAUAGGAAGGAACACCAGUGGCGAAGGCGACCACCUGGACUGAUACUGACACUGAGGUGCGAAAGCGUGGGGAGCAAACAGGAUUAGAUACCCCCGUAGUCCCUGUCUCUUAUAA